UCCAUUUUGGCAGAUUUCUAUUGCAAAAGACUUAGAAUCUUUCUAACCUUAA
rnacentral:tRNA from 1 species